rnacentral:rRNA from 1 species
ACGAACGCUGGCGGCGCGCCUAACACAUGCAAGUCGAACGGAGCUUAGAGAGCUUGCUUUUUAAGCUUAGUGGCGAACGGGUGAGUAACGCGUGAGUAACCUGCCCUAGAGUGGGGGACAACAGUUGGAAACGACUGCUAAUACCGCAUAAGCCCACGGUGCCGCAUGGUACUGAGGGAAAAGGAUUUAUUCGCUUUAGGAUGGACUCGCGUCCAAUUAGCUAGUUGGUGAGGUAACGGCCCACCAAGGCGACGAUUGGUAGCCGGACUGAGAGGUUGAACGGCCACAUUGGGACUGAGACACGGCCCAGACUCCUACGGGAGGCAGCAGUGGGGGAUAUUGCACAAUGGGGGAAACCCUGAUGCAGCGACGCCGCGUGGAGGAAGAAGGUUUUCGGAUUGUAAACUCCUGUCGUUAGGGACGAUAAUGACGGUACCUAACAAGAAAGCACCGGCUAACUACGUGCCAGCAGCCGCGGUAAAACGUAGGGUGCAAGCGUUGUCCGGAAUUACUGGGUGUAAAGGGAGCGCAGGCGGGAAGACAAGUUGGAAGUGAAAACCAUGGGCUCAACCCAUGAAUUGCUUUCAAAACUGUUUUUCUUGAGUAGUGCAGAGGUAGAUGGAAUUCCCGGUGUAGCGGUGGAAUGCGUAGAUAUCGGGAGGAACACCAGUGGCGAAGGCGGUCUACUGGGCACCAACUGACGCUGAGGCUCGAAAGCAUGGGUAGCAAACAGGAUUAGAUACCCUGGUAGUCCAUGCCGUAAACGAUGAUUACUAGGUGUUGGGGGAUUGACCCCCUCAGUGCCGCAGUUAACACAAUAAGUAAUCCACCUGGGGAGUACGACCGCAAGGUUGAAACUCAAAGGAAUUGACGGGGGCCCGCACAAGCAGUGGAGUAUGUGGUUUAAUUCGAAGCAACGCGAAGAACCUUACCAGGUCUUGACAUCCGAUGCAUAGCACAGAGAUGUGUGAAAUCCUUCGGGACAUCGAGACAGGUGGUGCAUGGUUGUCGUCAGCUCGUGUCGUGAGAUGUUGGGUUAAGUCCCGCAACGAGCGCAACCCUUAUUGCCAGUUACUACGUUAAGAGGACUCUGGCGAGACUGUCGUUGACAAAACGGAGGAAGGUGGGGAUGACGUCAAAUCAUCAUGCCCCUUAUGACCUGGGCUACACACGUACUACAAUGGCUGUAACAGAGGGAAGCAACAUAGAGAUGUGAAGCAAAUCCCAAAAAGCAGUCUCAGUUCGGAUUGAAGGCUGAAAUUCGCCUUCAUGAAGCCGGAAUUGCUAGUAAUGGCAGGUCAGCAUACUGCCGUGAAUACGUUCCCGGGCCUUGUACACACCGCCCGUCACACCAUGAGAGUUGGAAAUACCCGAAGCCUGUGAGCUAACCUAUGAGGCAGCAGUCGAAGGUAGAGCCAAUGAUUGGGGUG